rnacentral:rRNA from 1 species
CAGUCGCCGCGGGAAUACGGAGGGGGCUAGCGUUGUUCGGAAUUACUGGGCGUAAAGCGUACGUAGGCGGCUUUGUAAGUUAGAGGUGAAAGCCUGGUGCUCAACACCAGAACUGCCUUUAAGACUGCAUCGCUUGAACGUCGGAGAGGUGAGUGGAAUUCCGAGUGUAGAGGUGAAAUUCGUAGAUAUUCGGAAGAACACCAGUGGCGAAGGCGGCUCACUGGACGACUGUUGACGCUGAGGUACGAAAGCGUGGGGAGCAAACAGGAUUAGAUACCCCUGUAGUCCCUGUCUCUUAUAA